AGCUCCGGUGGCCUAGUGGUUGGAGCGUUCGCUUUUGGAUGCUGGAGGUCGCGGGUUUGACUCCCGACCGAGUCA